rnacentral:rRNA from 1 species
GAUGAACGCUGGCGGCGUGCCUAAUACAUGCAAGUCGAGCGAACAGACGAGGAGCUUGCUCCUCUGACGUUAGCGGCGGACGGGUGAGUAACACGUGGAUAACCUACCUAUAAGACUGGGAUAACUUCGGGAAACCGGAGCUAAUACCGGAUAACAUGUUGAACCGCAUGGUUCAACAGUGAAGGACGGUCUUGCUGUCACUUAUAGAUGGAUCCGCGCCGCAUUAGCUAGUUGGUAAGGUAACGGCUUACCAAGGCAACGAUGCGUAGCCGACCUGAUAGGGUGAUCGGCCACACUGGAACUGAGACACGGUCCAGACUCCUACGGGAGGCAGCAGUAGGGAAUAUUCCGCAAUGGGCGAAAUCCUGACGGAGCAACGCCGCGUGAGUGAAGAAGGUCUUCGGAUCGUAAAACUCUGUUAUUAGGGAAGAACAAAUGUGUAAGUAACUAUGCACGUCUUGACGGUACCUAAUCAGAAAGCCACGGCUAACUACGUG